rnacentral:rRNA from 1 species
GAGUUUGAUCCUGGCUCAGCCUGAACGCUGGCGGCGUGGCUAAGACAUGCAAGUCGUACGGUGUAGCAAUACACAGUGGCGAACGGGAGAGUAAUGAAUCGCUAAUGUGCCCCGGACUCUGGGAUAGCCAGUCGAAAGAUUGGGUAAUACCAGAUGACACCACCUUGUCGCAUGGCAGGGUGUUCAAAGGUCCGCCGGUCUGGGAGCAGGCGAUUUCGUAUCAGCUAGUUGGUAGGGUAACGGCCUACCAAGGCGACGACGCGUAGCCGGACUGAGAGGUUGGCCGGCCACAUUGGGACUGAGACACUGCCCAGACCCCUACGGGGGGCUGCAGUAACGAAUCUUCCGCAAUGCACGAAAGUGUGACGGAGCGACGCCGCGUGUGGGACGAAGUCCUUCGGGAUGUAAACCACUGUCAGGGGUUACCAAGUUCUGAGGAGCCCCAGAGGAAGGCACGGCUAACUCUGUGCCAGCAGCCGCGGUAAGAC